AUGGGGAAAUUCCGCGGCAAGCUCUCCCGCCCACCGGACACCAACACCUCACUCCGCCUCGCCGCCCAGCUCCAGUCAUGCGGCCGCGCCGGCGACCUCCGCCUCGCCCGCCGCCUCCAUGCGCGCUUCGCGCUCACCGGCGCCGCCGCCGCGUCUGCCUUCCUCACCAACCACCUCAUCACCAUGUACUCCCACUGCGCUGACGUCCGCUCCGCGCUCCGCCUCUUCCACGCCAUGCCCCGACCCAACCUCGUCUCCUGGACCACUCUCAUCUCCGGCCUCGCCCAGAACUCCAUGCACCGCGACGCGCUCGCCGCGUUCGCGUCCAUGCGCCGCGCGGGACUCGCACCCACGCAGUUCGCGCUCUCCAGCGCCGCGCGCUCCGCGGCCGCCCUCGCCGCCCCGGGCCCCGGCGCGCAGCUGCACUGUGUCGGCGUCAGGCUCGGUUUCGACGGAGAGCUAUUCGUCGCGAGUAACCUCGCGGAUAUGUACUCCAAGUCUGGGCUCUUGGCUGAUGCCUGCAGGGUGUUUGAUCAAAUGCCGCACAAGGAUACUGUUGCAUGGACUGCCAUGAUCGAUGGGUAUGCCAAGAACGGGAGCCUUGAGAAGGCCGCUCUAGCUUUCCGGGACAUGAAACGAGAGGGGCUAGUUGGAACUGACCAGCAUGUGUACUGCAGUGUUUUGAGUGCAUCGGGGGAGCUCAAGGAUGGAUGGCUUGGCCGAACCAUCCACUCUGCUGUAGUGAAGGCAGGGUUUGAACUGGAGGUUGCUGUAAGGAAUGCGCUCACUGACAUGUACGCUAAGGCUGCGGACAUGGAGAAUGCUGUUCGUGUUGUGAAGAUUGACCCUGGAGGUUGGAAUGUUGUGUCAGCCACCUCGCUGAUUGAUGGCUACGUCGAGACUGAUAGUGUUGAGGAGGCCCUUCGAAUAUUUCUUGAAUUGCAGAGGCGAGGAGUUGAACCCAAUGAAUUUACUUUCUCGAGCAUGAUCAAGGGAUGUGCCAUGCAGGCUCUGCUUGAACAAGGCGCUCAGUUCCAUGCUCACGUGAUCAAGACAACUAUUAUCAGUGACUCCUUUGUCAGUUCCACCCUUAUGGAUAUGUAUGGUAAAUGUGGCCUCGUUAGUUUGUCCAUUCAGUUAUUUAACGAGGUUGAACACCAUACUGAUAUUGCUUGGAAUGCGGUAAUCAAUGUAUUUGCACAACAUGGUCAUGGUAGGGAAGCUAUCCAAGCUUUCGAUAGGAUGACCUCAAGUGGUAUCAGGCCAAAUCACAUUACAUUUGUCAGCCUGCUUACAGCAUGCAGUCAUGCUGGGUUAGUGGAUGACGGACUGAAAUAUUUUAACUCCAUGAAGAAUGCCCAUGGUAUUGAGGCUAAGGAUGAGCACUAUUCAUGUAUCAUUGAUAUGUAUGCUCGGGCUGGGAGACUAGCUGAAGCAGAGAAAUUUAUACACGAGAUGCCUACCAAACCCAGUGUCUAUGGUUGGUGCUCCUUGCUUGGAGCUUGCCGGAUGCGAGGAAACAAGGAGCUGGGCGAGUUUGCGGCAGAAAAGAUAAUGGAGCUUGAGCCAGAUAACACUGGUGUUCACGUAUCCCUUUCUGGGAUCUAUGCAUCAUUAGGCCAAUGGGAGGAUGUGAAGGCAAUCAGGAAGCUGAUGAGGGAUAGCAGGAUUAAGAAGCUUCCUGGUUUUAGCUGGGUCGAUGCUAAUAACAAAACUCAUGUUUUUUCAUCCGAAGAUUGGUCACAUCCACAGCAGAAGAAGAUAUAUCAAAAACUUGAGGAACUCUAUGAGAGGAUAAAGGAGGAAGGUUACGUCCCAGACACACGUUCCUUACCAUCUAAUUUGGAAGAUACUGCAAAGGAGAGGAUUCUGCGUUAUCACAGUGAGCGGAUUGCCGUAGCUUUUGCUUUGAUAAGCAUGCCUGCUACAAAACCAAUCAUUGUGAAGAAGAAUUUGCGUAUCUGUGUAGACUGUCAUUCUGCACUGAAGUUCAUUUCUAAGGUUGAAAGCAGGGAUAUUAUUGUUAGAGAUAACUCCAGGUUCCACCAUUUUGCGGAAGGGAGGUGUUCCUGUGAAGAUUACUGG
rnacentral:rRNA from 1 species